rnacentral:rRNA from 1 species
GACGUAGGGGGCGAGCGUUGUCCGGAAUUACUGGGCGUAAAGCGCGUGCAGGCGGCCUGGUAAGUCCCGUGUAAAAGCCUACGGCUCAACCGUAGGAGGCCGCGGGAUAUUGUCGGGCUAGAGGGCAGGAGAGGGAAGUGGAAUUCCCGGUGUAGCGGUGAAAUGCGUAGAUAUCGGGAGGAACGCCAGUGGCGAAGGCGGCUUCCUGGCCUGUCCCUGACGCUGAGACGCGAAAGCUGGGGGAGCGAACGGG